rnacentral:misc_RNA from 1 species
GUGAAUUUUAAUGCAGAUAAAUCUAGAUGCUUGGGGUGUCAAAUAAAAUUAAUUUUAUGAGUUAAAAGCUUUAUUUGGUUAUAAAGAAAAUGAGCUACAGGGCCAAGGAUUAGUUGAUUUUUUUUAUGUCAUUUCAAGAAUCCAUGACAUCUAGUGUAAAAAGGACUUCUUUGAAUGGUUUGGAUGCUCUAACCAGAGAAUGGGUGACUGAAGAUGAUAUAAAUAGAAGAAAAGGAAAGAUUGAAAAUUAAGGCCAAGGGUUUAGGAUAUAAAUAUGGGAAUGAGUUGUUUUGGAUAUUUCCUAUUAAGCUUAUGUCCACAGAAUGAGACUUGUUCGGUAUGAAACAAUAUUUUUAAUUUUGGC